rnacentral:tRNA from 1 species
GGGGGCGUGGCGGAAUUGGCAUACGCAAGGGACUUAAAAUCCCUCGCCGCAAGGCUUGUGGGUUCGAACCCCACCGCCCCUA